CUCUCUCUCUCACUCAACCACACAUAUUUCACUUUAAUAAAUAGAAAAAUAUUAAGGACUCUCUCCCUCUACAAUAAAUUUUGUAUUUAAAGACAUUUUAAAUAAUAACUAGCGAGACUUUAAAACAUUGGUAAUAAUAAGCUCGACGCUUGUAAAAGCGUCGAAGAAAAAGUUGUUAAGUUAAACAUGCCGAGAUAAGUAUACCGACGCUUUAAUAUAGCGUCGAAAUACUUUUAUAAGUAUUUGAUAAAAAUAUGUUUAUUGACAAUGCUUAAUUAUGGUGUCUGCACAUGUCAAAUAUUGAAGAUCGAUGCUAAAAUCAAAUAUCGUCCAAAGAGUAUCGUCUAAAAUAUAUUUUGUUGCAGUG
rnacentral:lncRNA from 1 species